UACGGGGGGGCAAGCGUUGUUCGGAAUUACUGGGCGUAAAGGGCUCGUAGGCGGCCAACUAAGUCGGAUGUGAAAUCCCCAGGCUUAACCUGGGAACUGCAUCCGAUACUGGAUGGCUUGAAUCCGGGAGAGGGAUGCAGAAUUCCAGGUGUAGCGGUGAAAUGCGUAGAUAUCUGGAGGAAUACCGGUGGCGAAGGCGGCAUCCUGGACCGAUACUGACGCUGAGGAGCGAAAGCCAGGGGAGCAAACGGG
rnacentral:rRNA from 1 species